AGAUUGGUUGGCGUGGUUGGGAGCGAUCGAUGAGGUGUUUGCUUCUUUCCUUCUGGUGAUGCCCUUCUUGCCCUUGCCCUUGAAGGUUCGUUCAUUCCGAAGGAAAAAUAUGCAGAACACCUGAUCGAUCUUCCCACCUACACCAACGCCAUCU
rnacentral:pre_miRNA from 1 species